GCACAAUGGGGGAAACCCUGAUGCAGCGACGCCGCGUGGAGGAAGAAGGUUUUCGGAUUGUAAACUCCUGUCGUUAGGGACGAUAAUGACGGUACCUAACAAGAAAGCACCGGCUAACUACGUGCCAGCAGCCGCGGUAAAACGUAGGGUGCAAGCGUUGUCCGGAAUUACUGGGUGUAAAGGGAGCGCAGGCGGACCGGCAAGUUGGAAGUGAAAACUAUGGGCUCAACCCAUAAAUUGCUUUCAAAACUGCUGGCCUUGAGUAGUGCAGAGGUAGGUGGAAUUCCCGGUGUAGCGGUGGAAUGCGUAGAUAUCGGGAGGAACACCAGUGGCGAAGGCGACCUACUGGGCACCAACUGACGCUGAGGCUCGAAAGCAUGGGUAGCAAACAGGAUUAGAUACCCUGGUAGUCCAUGCCGUAAACGAUGAUUACUAGGUGUUGGGGGAUUGACCCCCUCAGUGCCGCAGUUAACACAAUAAGUAAUCCACCUGGGGAGUACGACCGCAAGGUUGAAACUCAAAGGAAUUGACGGGGGCCCGCACAAGCAGUGGAGUAUGUGGUUUAAUUCGAAGCAACGCGAAGAACCUUACCAGGUCUUGACAUCCGAUGCAUAGCACAGAGAUGUGUGAAAUCCUUCGGGACAUCGAGACAGGUGGUGCAUGGUUGUCGUCAGCUCGUGUCGUGAGAUGUUGGGUUAAGUCCCGCAACGAGCGCAACCCUUAUUGCCAGUUACUACGUUAAGAGGACUCUGGCGAGACUGCCGUUGACAAAACGGAGGAAGGUGGGGAUGACGUCAAAUCAUCAUGCCCUUUAUGACCUGGGCUACACACGUACUACAAUGGCGUUAAACAAAGAGAAGCAAGACCGCGAGGUGGAGCAAAACUCAGAAACAACGUCCCAGUUCGGACUGCAGGCUGCAACUCGCCUGCACGAAGGCGGAAUUGCUAGUAAUCG
rnacentral:rRNA from 1 species